AUUGAACGCUGGCGGCAGGCCUAACACAUGCAAGUCGAGCGGAUGAAGGGAGCUUGCUCCUGGCUUCAGCGGCGGACGGGUGAGUAAUGCCUAGGAAUCUGCCUGGUCGUGGGGGAUCACGUCCGUACACGGGCGCUAAUACCGCAUACGUCCUGAGGUAGAAAGUGGGGGUUCUUCGGACCUCACGCUAUCAGAUGAGCCUAGGUCGGAUUAGCUAGUUGGUGGGGUAAAGGCCUACCAAGGCGACGAUCCGUAACUGGUCUGAGAGGAUGAGCAGUCACACUGGAACUGAGACACGGUCCAGACUCCUACGGUAGGCAGCAGUGGGGAAUAUUGGACAAGGGGCGAAAGCCUGAUCCAGCAAUGCCGCGUGUGUGAAGAAGGUCUUCGGAUUGUAAAGCACUUUAAGUUGGGAGGAAGGACAGUAAGUUAAUACCUUGCUGUUUUGACGGUACCAACAGAAAAAGCACCGGCUAACUUCGUG
rnacentral:rRNA from 1 species